GACGGAGAAGGCUAGGCUGGCAUGGCGUUGGUAGUCCAUGUGAAAGUGCGUAGGGUUGGUGUUUAGGAAAAUCCGGACACCUGCAUGCCUGAGACACGAGACGAUGCACCACGGUGCAGAAGCAGUUGAUGCCCGGCUUCCAGGAAAAUCCUCUAAACGUAUGUGCUUAUGAACCGUACCCCAAACCGACACAGGUGGUCAGGUAGAGAAUACUAAG
rnacentral:rRNA from 1 species